AGGAUUUGGGGGCGGCUUACACAUGCAGUCGAGCGGAAACGAUACCAGCUUGCUGGUAGGCGUCGAGCGGCGGACGGGUGAGUAAUACUUAGGAAUCUACCUAGUAGUGGGGGAUGGCUCGGGGAAACUCGAAUUAAUACCGCAUACGACCUACGGGAGAAAGGGGGCAGUUUACUGCUCUCGCUAUUAGAUGAGCCUAAGUCGGAUUAGCUAGAUGGUGGGGUAAAGGCCUACCAUGGCGACGAUCUGUAGCUGGUCUGAGAGGAUGAUCAGCCACACCGGGACUGAGACACGGCCCGGACUCCUACGGGAGGCAGCAGUGGGGAAUAUUGGACAAUGGGGGAAACCCUGAUCCAGCCAUGCCGCGUGUGUGAAGAAGGCCUUUUGGUUGUAAAGCACUUUAAGCAGUGAAGAAGACUCCUCGGUUAAUACCCGUGGACGAUGACAUUAGCUGCAGAAUAAGCACCGGCUAACUCUGUGCCAGCAGCCGCGGUAAUACAGAGGGUGCAAGCGUUAAUCGGAAUUACUGGGCGUAAAGCGAGCGUAGGUGGCUUGAUAAGUCAGAUGUGAAAUCCCCGGGCUUAACCUGGGAACUGCAUCUGAAACUGUUAGGCUAGAGUAGGUGAGAGGAAGGUAGAAUUCCAGGUGUAGCGGUGAAAUGCGUAGAGAUCUGGAGGAAUACCGAUGGCGAAGGCAGCCUUCUGGCAUCAUACUGACACUGAGGCUCGAAAGCGUGGGUAGCAAACAGGAUUAGAUACCCUGUAGUCCACGCCGUAAACGAUGUCUACUAGUCGUUGGGUCCCUUGAGGACUUAGUGACGCAGCUAACGCAAUAAGUAGACCGCCUGGGGAGUACGGCCGCAAGGUUAAAACUCAAUGAAUUGACGGGGCCCGCACAAGCGGUGGAGCAUGUGUUUAUUCGAUGCACGCGAGACCUUACCUGUCUUGACAUAUCUAGAAUCCUGCAGAGAUGCGGGAGUGCCUUCGGAAUUAGAAUACAGGUGCUGCA
rnacentral:rRNA from 1 species